rnacentral:rRNA from 1 species
UACGGAGGGGGUUAGCGUUGUUCGGAAUUACUGGGCGUAAAGCGCGCGUAGGCGGAUUAGAAAGUUGGGGGUGAAAUCCCGGGGCUCAACCUCGGAACUGCCUCCAAAACUGCUAGUCUAGAGUUCGAGAGAGGUGAGUGGAAUUCCGAGUGUAGAGGUGAAAUUCGUAGAUAUUCGGAGGAACACCAGUGGCGAAGGCGGCUCACUGGCUCGAUACUGGCGCUGAGGUGCGAAAGUGUGGGUAGCGAACAGG